UUUGAUUUAGUAUAAUAAUUACUUUUCAUUUACAAUGAAAAAAUGUUUUAAAAACAAUUAAAU
rnacentral:tRNA from 1 species